UGACGAACGAGGAGGUUUGGAAAAGAAACGCCUAGAGAUUGAAAUACAUAUUUAAGCCUCAGGAGUGUCAAGUUCCCAGUUCAAGAGCACAAGGCUCUGAAUGCAUCCACCUUGCUGGACAGCUUAAGCCAUGGGUAGACAAACUAAGGUCUGGGGCCAGAUCCAGCCCAAUCGCCUUCUAAAUCUGGCCCACGGACAGUCCAGGAAUCAGCAUGUUUUUACAUGAGUAGAAUGUGUCCUUUUAUUUAAAAUGCAUUUCUGGGUUAUUUGUGGCGUCUGCCUGGUGUUCUAACAUGAGUAGUAUGUGUGCUUUUAUUUAAAAUGCAUCUCUGGGUUAUUUUGGGGGCAUAGGAAUUUGUUCAUUCCCCCUCAGAAAAAUAUAGUCGGUGGAUGGUGGACUGGCCCCCUGCUAAAAAAGUUUGCUGACCCUUGGCUUAAGCAGACCUGGAUCAGGGCAAGAGAGUGCUUGGGGCCCUCCAGGCAUGUUGGGAGAAGGGUAGGAAAUAAUAAAUUAACACUGUAAACCCCCUUCCCCUUAAAGGAAUUGGAUAAAAAUACAAAUAGCUAUGUAAAGUAUGGAGUUAUUUGCUCCUUGGCAUGAUUUACUUCCUUCCAAGUCAUGUCUUCUACUCCUUCAUAACCCACCGAGCAGCAGGCAGUGGGUAGGCCUCGAAGCCUGUGGUGGUUCCUGAGGCCCUUGCCUUGCUACGGAUCGCGUUGGGCCCAGGGCAAAAGCAGCGUUUAUCGCCCUUGCCAAGGAGUUGUGAAUGCUGCUCGCCCUGAUUGCUACCUGCUCUCCACAGCUUAGGAGCUAAUUACUGUUUUUGCCCGUCUCCUCUGUGUUGCGAAAUUGCUAACUGAUUAGGAAAAUUGGUACGUCUCCCCGUCACCCAGGGCAGGGUUUGUGUUUGUGUGUUUUCUGUUUUGCCGAAAGGCCUUUUCUGAAGCGCCUGAGGGGGUCUGGCGCCGAUUGGCAGGCUCUGUUCCUUGCCGUUUGAGCGAGAGAUGGCGGAGCUGAUCUUUGAAGAGAGGGCGGCACUUUUGAAUGGGUGGCUUGGUGGCCAGCAGGCCUUGGGAGAGGGAAGGCACAGCUGCCUGCAGGGGAGCUGCGAGUGUGUCAUUAUCGGCCCCUCAGAAGCCUCUUUCUGGCAAAGUUACGUGGAUCACGAGAGCUUUUCAUUUUAAGAUUUCAUUUUGAGAUCUCGCCUUUGGCCCAAAGAACGAAGGCCAAGCCUUGCAGGUGCAUCAGAGCUCCACCCACUCCACCUUUGCACAGGUAGACAGCAACAUGCCUUUAGGAAGUCCACAAGAGGCACACAAAGCCCCCAUUCCUAUGAUUCCCCACCACCACCACCUGGUAUUCAGAAGCAUGCUGCUUCAGAUCAAAUCCCCACUUGGUCACGAAGCUCACUGGGUGACCUGGGUCCAGUCGCUGCACCUGAACCUAACCCACCUCACAGGGUUGUUGUCGGGAUUAAAUGAGGAGGGGAAGAACCACCUUCAGCUCACUGGAGAAGAAAGUAGGAAUUAAAAGUGCAUUAAAUAAAUAAACAAUAAACAGGUCAAUGGAAAAUGCAGUCUGUAUUUGGACCAGUGUGGGGGUUUGUCCUGCACCCUCCAGACUCAGGGAGCUGCUAUUCCUGUCUCCAUGAACAAGGGGUUCAGGGUGAAUCUGAUUCCUACAAUGUCAGAACUUGGACACAUUGGGUUGUCUCCAACUAAGUCCUGCUCAGGUGAAACACAUUGAAAUUGAUAGGCCUAAGUUCACCAUGUUCAUUAAACUUCCAAUUGGUCUGCCCUGAGUAGGACUAGCACCGGGAUACACAAUCCAACAUCUCAUAUCCUGGAUUGCCUUCCUCCCUCUCCGUGGGCCCCCUCGUUUGAAGUGGUUGCAGUGCAGAAUUGGGCCAGAGAGCCGAGUGCAUCGUCUUCUCUCAUCCCACAUUAUCCACAUUUGUAAAAUGGUGCGUCCGUCACCUGAAUGCCUUGGAGUGGGGAUGGGAAGAGACAACUCCAGGUUUGCAAAUAGCACAUGGAUCACCUCUAGAUGGUCAGGAAAAAUGCAGAAGUUGUGUUGCUUCUUAAACAACAGUUAUUAAAUAAAUAACAGGGGGGUUAUUUAUUUAAAUGUUUUAAAACAAAUCAAAAAUCCCAGCAGAGCUUUUUAAAAGUCCUCCUCAUGCUUCUCUGGGCUGGGACCAGAGGCUCCCGUAAUCCACUGUGAAAUCAUCAGCCAGUUUCUCCCAUUCACCUUGUGUGGCUGCAAAGCACCCUUGAUGGUUGCUUUUGUAGCGCCUUAAUAGAAAUCAAUGGCACAGCCCAAUGUGUGCGGAGCCUCCAUUGUCCCAGUUCCAAAAUGGAAAUAAUAGAGCAAGUGAAAUGAAGAGGAGCAAUUACGAUCAAGGGCAGGAGACAUCUCUCCCUGCACAAGGUGGGUUUGAAAAGGGUUGGGGAAGAGAGAAGGGAAUAAUUGUGGAUGGGCAGGAUGGCAGAACGGAACCUGGAAGGCUGGCGUAGACUUUUUCUAUACCAUACCAAGAGUGGCGGAAUUAACAUUCAACGGGUCUGAAAUGAACAAAGGGAAACAUCUCUUCAUCUCCCCGCCCCUCACCCGACAUCCCAGGUCACAAUGAGACAUAAUAGCGGACAAUUAUAUAGAACUUGUUCAGAACCGAACGAAAUUUAUCCUUAGCUGAGCUUUUGAUUGCACAAAAUUGGAGGACGGCGGAUCUCCCUGCUCAAAACGAAUUGCUUUUGAGGGUGUAGGAGCUCGGCUGAGCUGCGAUGAUGCUCAUGAAACAAUGGGAAGGAGACGUGCGGCUCAAUGGGCUGGUUGCCGUGAGAGCAACGUGGCUGAGUUUUCAGGCAACUUGACGUUGCUCCAGGACCGCUCUAUUGGAAACACAUCAGAAGGUGUGGAUAAAGAUGAAAAGCAGUAUCCAAUAUAUUCACAUCCUAAAGGACCCCCAGAGGCAAUGGCACUGGGGCCUAGCAACGCCCCCUUCCCCCAAAUCUCUACAGCUAGACACAACUGGCCAGAAAUCGCCCCUCACUCACAAGGUUUUGCCAGUGGCUCCCUUUUGAAGGCACCUGGGGAUGGAGGGUGGGGAAAGGUAGGUGCAAAUGACUAUUCCCUGAUGGUAGAGACAGUCUCUCUUCCCUCUGAGGACUUGUUGUUGUUUAGUUGUUCAGUCGUGUCUGACUCUUCGUGACCCCAUGGACCAGAGCACACCAGGCAUUCCUGUCUUCCACUGCCUCCCGCAGCUUGGUCAAACUCAUGCUGGUAGCUUCGAGAACACUGUCCAACCACCUCGUCUUCUGUCGUCCCCUUCUCUUUGUGCCCUCCAUCUUUCCCAACAUCAGGGUCUUUUCCAGGGAGCCUUCUCUUCUCAUGAGGUGGCCAAAGUAUUGGAUCCUCAGCUUCACGAUCUUUCCUUCCAGUGAGCACUCAGGGCUGAUUUCCUUAAGAAUGGAUAGGUUUGAUCUUCUUGCAGUCCAUGGGACUCUCAAGAGUCUCCUCCAGCACCAUAAGUCAAAAGCAUCAAUUCUUCGGCGAUCAGCCUUCUUUAUGGUCCAGCUUUCACUUCCAUACAUCACUACUGGGAAAACCAUAGCUUUAACUAUACGGACUAGGAACUUGUAAAAUAUGGGUAACAGAUGAAAUGCCCUCCAGAUGGUGUUGGGCUUCAACCAGUCUGGGACCCCAGCCUGCUCCAGCCCCAGCCAACAUGGUCAACAUGGAGAACAGGUAGGGUUAUGGAAUAAAAUUAAUUUAAACAGCACACACGUAGUGUUCUUAGACUGGCCACAGGGACCUUGUUUUUAAUAGGCAGGUUUCCAUUCAUGGUGAUACCUGAGGAGACAGAUGGUCACCUGUCUGGGCAGCCAUGGAGAAUUUGUGCUACUGUCCAUAAAUUGUCCAGAUGUCUGCAGUCUGGCAGAUGUUAAUGGGAGCUCUGCAGGCACCAAAUCAUUUAAACAGAGUGACCCGACUGCAUCCUGUUCCUGAUCCACCAGGGUCAAGAACAGAAGGUCAGAAGUUUGGGGAAGGGUCACCCCCCCAAAAAAACCCUUAAUUUGAUUCCAAAUAUUAAUUGAUUGAUUGAUUGAUUGAUUACCUGCCCUACAUGCUCUGGUCUCAGGGUGGGUGACAGUAUUAAAUCACCGUAUUAAAAACAGAUUAAAACAACUUAAAAUUAGUGGAAGUAUGAUGGGUCCUAUAAAUAUACAUGUCCAGGGUCAAAAGGCAGGGUGAAGAGAUGCGUCUUCAGCUGUAUAAUGAAGGUGCCAGACACACCCCUGUGAGGAGGGAGUUCCACAACUUAGGGGCCUCCACAGAGAAGACCCUCUCCUGGAUUGUGCCCCCCCCGAGCCUCUGAGGGCAGAGGAACUACCAAGAGGGCUUCCUGUACCCUCUAAAUUCUGCAGAUGAAUCAUCUUUACCAUGUGAGCAUUUGGGCAGUAUCAUUCCUCAACAGAAGAGGCCAUGGUAUGGGUCUGCCCUUGUCUCUUCUCAGCGGUGGAGGGUCUCGUGAAAGAGCUUCUGAUAUGAAUAAUCACCCAGGAGGAGUUGAUCCUUGAGGAGUCCUGGCCCUAAGGCAUUGAGAGCACUUUGAAACAUCCCCAGAAAUAGACAGGGAGCCAGCAUAGCUGUUGCCCUACGGAGAUGUCCUCUGUGAGCCGUGGCCUAGUAGUCCAUGGACCCUCUUGCUGUCUUCUGUACUACUGCCUGUCCUUUGAGGUCCGUUUUCGAGGCAGCUCCGUGUUCUCUAGAUGGGCACAAAGAACUGUGGCUAAGCUAACUGUUAUGUACUGAGCUGAAUCCUAGAACAAUAGGAUCCAGAAUGCAGCAGUCUGAUUGGUCUGCAGGAGCCACCCAAUCCAGCUCCAGGUGAAAGUGAAUCAGCAACCUGAUUGGCUUGCAGGAGCAGCCAAUCAGGUUCCUGGUUGAAGUGAAUCAGCAACCUGAUUGGCCUGCAGGAGCAGCCAAUUAGGCUUCUGGAGGAGGUGAACCCGCAACCUGAUUGGCCUACAGGAGCAUCCCGGAAUUAGCCAAUCAUGUGGGGCUCAUUGUGUAAAUAAUGUAUAUAUAGCUAGACGUUUUGGGGAAAGCUUCAGUCUUAAAGACUGAAUAAAGAGCAUGAAAUUCACACUCAACUCCGAGUAUAUUUCACUAACCUUAUCUAGGAGAGGCUAUAACUGGUGGACCAGCCAAAACCACUGAGGCCACUUGGAGUUCUGGAUGGAAAGUCAGAUCUAAUGGCACACCUCCCCUACCCGCAGCAUCACUUUUAAGGGAGAGCGCAUUAGCUCCAUUCAGGACAGCCUGAACACCAUCUCCCAAAUCAGAUGAACCACCUCCAAGCCGUUAUUGAGAAAGAGCUUCAGUGUAUUGGCCCAUUAUCAACCCCAGUCAUCCACAAUAAAUCCAGAUUUGAUAAAAAGGGGGUGUAGAGUUGGGUGUCACCAGCAUGGUCAGCAGUUGCAAGUGGAUUGGGGCGAAACCUCAGCCUUGGGAGAGAUGCAGUCCUCUUGGCAUUUUUUAUCUGGCCCUCCCAAACCCACUCUUCUCACGUUGCCUUUCUGUAGGAAUGGCUACUGUCGACAUUCCAGGUGCAGCUGAGAGGCCAGCUCCUUCCAUGGAAAGGCUUUCUUCCCUGCAGAAGGAAGUCCUCUCAGGGUGUGUUCGCUGUUGGUUUGGUCUGGUCCUGGGCUGUCAUUACCAGUGGUAUUUUAAGCUUAUUUGAUUUUGUGCCUCUUCCCUUUAGCAGAGGCCAAUCUCAUUCUGCUGACAUUAGAUGUGCCAUUAUAUGUAUUUGCCAUUAGAUGUGAGUUGCCUGAGACGGUGCCUAUUUUGAGUUCCCUCUGUUAUACGUAGGGCUGAGCCAAAAAUUACUUGCCCUGUUUCCUUUCUGCAAAGCAUUGAGAAAUGCGGUGAUUUUCAGAACUUGCCACAAAUACAUUUGGGUUGGUUUAAUAAAAUUUUGGGUUUUUGCCUUCACUGCGCUUGGUCUCACUAGCCCACCCUGCCCUUUAAUCCAAUUGGCUGUGGCAGCCCACAUGUUGAUGACAUCAUAACGCUACAUCUGAUGCGUGGUGAUGUCAUAGGUGUUGCAAACAAAACCAGAACAAAAUGCACCCUUGAGCUGCUGUUGCAUUUAUCUUCCUCCAGAGCAGGGUUUCCCCAAACUUGGGUCUCCAGCUGUUUUUUUGACUACCACUCCCACCAUCCCUAGCUAGCAGAAACAUCGUAUUGUAGAAGCCAGAUUCGUAAUUUCAUUUUUUUUAUAAAGAAUAUUUAUUCCAAUUUUAAAGUUAC